GACAGAGGGUGCAAACGUUGUUCGGAAUUACUGGGCGUAAAGCGUGUGUAGGCGGCUAGGUAAGUCGGAUGUGAAAGCCCCGGGCUCAACUCGGGAAGUGCACUCGAUACUGCUUAGCUCGAGUACCGGAGAGGUUGGUGGAAUUCUCGGUGUAGAGGUGAAAUUCGUAGAUAUCGAGAGGAACACCUGUGGCGAAGGCGGCCAACUGGACGAGUACUGACACUGAGACACGAAAGCGUGGGGAGCAAACAGG
rnacentral:rRNA from 1 species